UACGUAGGGGGCAAGCGUUAUCCGGAUUUACUGGGUGUAAAGGGAGCGUAGACGGUUGAAUAAGUCUGAAGUGAAAGCCCGGGGCCCAACCCCGGGACUGCUUUGGAAACUGUAUAACUUGAGUACAGGAGGGGCAGGCGGAAUUCCUGGUGUAGCGGUGAAAUGCGUAGAUAUCAGGAGGAACACCGGCGGCGAAGGCGGCCUGCUGGACUGAAACUGACGUUGAGGCUCGAAAGCGUGGGGAGCAAACAGG
rnacentral:rRNA from 1 species